CCCUCGCCUUUUUUCAUGAGAAUGAACACGAGUUAGUUAUCGUUGGGUCUCAAAAGAUAAUUUAGAAAAUAUAUUGGGUUCUUUUUCGGAGGUCAAAAUACGUUUAGGCGGAUUAACCCAUUUUAUUUUCCGGAAAUUGCGACUUUUGUAAUGGUGUAUUAGACAUGUUGCAAUUCCGUAUUCGAAUCUGAUAGUUGGAUAACGGAUUGAUCUUGACCCUGAGAAAAAUGACAUCUCCGGGAUGUUAGGUUAAUCGGCAUCGGGAGAUGUUAUGGAUUUGCGAAAUUUCGUACAUUCGAGCAGUAGACAGUUUCAACUAACCAUAAACGCUAUAUUGACCAGAGCACUUCAUUGAAACCGUAAGAACUCAGGAUUUCAUUGUUUGGUAGACCUUGGGCCAAAAUAACUUACAAGCUGUUGAUUAUUUCCGCCCUGGAUGGCUACUGCUGUCGAUCUUCGAGGAAACGAAUGCUAAGUACCUCGCAGAAGAUUUGAAGUUUCUUUAUUUAGUGUUGUUGAAAACAUUUAUCGUUAUCGUUUUUUUUGUUACAAAAGCAAUGAGUCGUACUGUUGAGUUAGGUCAAUUAAGAAAUUGUUGGACGUACUUUCACAUUGGAUAAAUGUCGUUCAGCGAUUUCGGGAUCCCUUUUUCCUUGAUUAUAUAAGGAGUAUACGUAACUUUCGGAAGUCUUUGUUAAUUUGUCAUUAUAGUGAUUAAAAGUUUCGUGAAAUGAG